rnacentral:rRNA from 1 species
GAUGAACGCUGGCGGCGUGCCUAAUACAUGCAAGUCGAGCGAACGGACGAGAAGCUUGCUUCUCUGAUGUUAGCGGCGGACGGGUGAGUAACACGUGGAUAACCUACCUAUAAGACUGGGAUAACUUCGGGAAACCGGAGCUAAUACCGGAUAAUAUUUUGAACCGCAUGGUUCAAAAGUGAAAGACGGUCUUGCUGUCACUUAUAGAUGGAUCCGCGCUGCAUUAGCUAGUUGGUAAGGUAACGGCUUACCAAGGCAACGAUGCAUAGCCGACCUGAGAGGGUGAUCGGCCACACUGGAACUGAGCCACGGUCCAGACUCCUACGGGAGGCCGCAGUAGGGAAUCUUCCGCAAUGGGCGAAAGCCUGACGGAGCAGCGCCGCGUGAGUGAUGAAGGUCUUCGGAUCGUAAAACUCUGUUAUUAGGGAAGAACAUAUGUGUAAGUAACUGUGCACAUCUUGACGGUACCUAAUCAGAAAGCCACGGCUAACUACGUG